rnacentral:rRNA from 1 species
AUUGAACGCUGGCGGCAUGCCUUACACAUGCAAGUCGAACGGGUGUAGCAAUACACUAGUGGCGAACGGGUGAGUAAUGCAUCGGAACGUGCCCAAUCGUGGGGGAUAACGUAGCGAAAGUUACGCUAAUACCGCAUACGUCCUGAGGGAGAAAGUGGGGGAUCGCAAGACCUCACGCGAAUGGAGCGGCCGAUGUCGGAUUAGCUAGUUGGCGGGGUAAAAGCCCACCAAGGCGACGAUCCGUAGCUGGUCUGAGAGGACGACCAGCCA